rnacentral:misc_RNA from 1 species
UGCGAGUUCGCGGGAGAGUAAGUUAUUGCCAGGGUUUUUAUUUUAUACUUUAAACAUUGAUUUUAUUUUUUAUGUUUUUAGAUAUUUAUGUUUUUGAAUGUUUUAUUCAAAUAAUAUAAAAAAUAAAAUAUAUAUUGACAUGGAUUAAACAAAGAUAUAUAUUAUUCUAUGUUGUAUAAACAAAUUGGCAAAAUAGAGAUGGAAGAUAAAAAUAUGGUCAAAGUAAUAAGAGUCUAUGGUGAAUGCCUAGGAGC